rfam:Oryza sativa (indica cultivar-group) chromosome 8, whole genome shotgun sequence.
AAAAAAAAAAAACAUAGGUUUCCGUGUUAACGUUUGACCGUCCGUCUUAUUUAAAAAAAAUAUAAAAAAAAUAAAAAGACAAGUCGCACAUAAAGUAUUAAUCAUGUUUUAUCAUCUAAUAACCAUGAAAAUACUAAUUAUAAAAAAAUUUCAUAUAAGACGGACAAUCAAACGUUGGACACGGAAACCUAGGGUUUGUCUUUUU